AGACAACUUUGUGAUUCAACUGCAGGUUUUCUUUGCGCAGCUCAUGCUUUCUGACAUGAAUAAAGAACUCAAAGGAUUAAGAUGCGUGGUGAGUGGUUCUGGAAAGAUUACAAUGCAUGUUUUGGAGAAGCUAAUUGCUUAUGGUGCUCUUCCCAUUUCCGUAUCAGAUUCUAAAGGAUAUUUGGUUGAUGAGGAUGGAUUUGACUACAUGAGAAUACAAUUUCUGAGAGACAUGAAAGCUCAACAGAGAAGUUAGAGAGACUAUUUAAAGACAUAUGCUCGGUC